rnacentral:sRNA from 1 species
GCUGGGCGCAGCAGCACAUGCCUGUAAUCCCAGUGGCUCGGGAGGCUGAGGCAGGAGGAUCCUGAGUUGAAAACCAGCCUCAGCAACAUCAAGGCACUUAGCAACUCAGUGAGACCCUGUCUCUA